GGCUCAAGUGCGAAAAAUAAAGCCUCUUUUGCAACCCAGAACUCAUUGUUCAGUAUGAGUUUUGAUACAUAUAAGAAGGAACAUU